GUCGAAGUGGCCGACAACGCGUACGGUUCGAUCUCGGACAUCGAGGAGAAGAAGCUGCAAUCCCCGCUCGGCAUCGAGGUUCCGAUC
rnacentral:tRNA from 1 species